AGGGGACACUGAGACACUAGGGGAUGCUGGGAGACAUGGGGACACAGACACACAUGGGGACACAGACACACAUGGGGACACUGGGAUACAUGGGGACACAGACACUAGGGACACAGCCAGUGUCCCUGGUGUCUGUGUCCCCAUGUCUCUCAGUAUUCCCAUGCCUCUCAGUGUUCCC